CUGCUUGGGACCUAUUUAAGAAAUUUUGUCUUCAUGGAAACUAGUGCCAAACGUUGUAACAUAUAGAUUUUGAUCAAUGGGCUGUGCAAAAUUGGACAACUAGAAAAGGCAAAUGAGUUGUUGUCAUAUAUGGAGGAAAAGGUUGUGCUCCAAAUGUAGUCACGUUUAUACGCUUAUCUUUGGUUUCCUCAAAAAUAAUGAGAUACCAAAAGUUGUUGAACUCCUUCAUAAGAUGGCGGAGAGAAAUAUGAGGCUGACUGAAUGUUCAUGUCUAGUAUGCAGUUACUAAUGAAGGCCGAAAAUUAUCGUGAAUGUUUGAAUCAGCUUCCGAUUCCAGUCAAAAGCGAAGUUGAAGUUUUCAUGGCAGCAAUUUAGUUCAUCCAGCUUCUCAAAUGCUUUGUUUUGGUUACGGUAAGAAAAGGUUUAGUAUACACCUUUGUUUGUUCGAAAUAUUUGCUCAUGAUGUCUUCUGGGCUGGUGAAUUCUUUACGGAACUGCUUCAGCAAUUUACUAGCAUGGACUGAUUGUAGACCCUGAAAAAUUGGAAACGUGGGAUAAAGUGAUUAUCAAUUUGUACGUCCUCCAAGGCUCACAGAAUGGUAAUGACCAGAGUGGGACAAGACAUGGUUAUCAGGAAUGGGGAGUUCCAACAUUCAAGAUAUGUGUCGAUUUCAGAAAUCAUUCUAUUAAUGUGUAUACUCUUGUUUUGAUGUCAAUCUAACGGUUUUUGAUGAACAGGUAUGCUAAUCAAUCAAGUCUGGUACCAGGAGUUCCACUAGUACUCUUGAAAAGUAUUGCAAAGCGGUUAUAUGAUGUGAGAAAAUACACCUCAAAGUGCUUAUGUGAUCCUUUCCAAUUGUUUGCGAUUGGGAUCUCCGGUUGAUCCGAAAAAGCUCCUCCCGCUUGCAAACGGGGCUAGUGGAGUCGCCAUUGAUGUGCAUUACUACAACCUCUUCUCAGACACGUUUAACAACUUUGACGUGCAGCAGAACAUCGAUUUAGAAUUUUCUUAUGGAUGAAAUUUGAAUUACGUGCUUGGACACUAGUUCAUGUACACGUGCUUCUGCUUUUGAUGCCAGAAACUCCAGUAGGCAGUGAAAGAAGGCAGCUUCUCUAAAAAGUCAACUGUCGUUUUACCUUAUGGAUUAUGCAGGUUAAAUUCAAUUGUGUUUACUCUGUUAUCUAUACGAUUUCAGGAUGUAUAAGUAUAUUAAAGGAGCUAUAUCCCACACCAAUCCACCGCUAUGACCCCUUAAGUAAAUUAUGGGUAAAGGUAUUACUUUUGU